rnacentral:rRNA from 1 species
UACGAAGGGGGCUAGCGUUGCUCGGAAUCACUGGGCGUAAAGGGUGCGUAGGCGGGUCUUUAAGUCAGGGGGGAAAUCCUGGAGCUCAACUCCAGAACUGCCUUUGAUACUGAGGAUCUUGAGUUCGGGAGAGGUGAGUGGAACUGCGAGUGUAGAGGUGAAAUUCGUAGAUAUUCGCAAGAACACCAGUGGCGAAGGCGGCUCACUGGCCCGAUACUGACGCUGAGGCACGAAAGCGCGGGGAUCAAACAGG